rnacentral:rRNA from 1 species
UGGCGGACGGGUGAGUAAUGUCUGGGAAACUGCCUGAUGGAGGGGGAUAACUACUGGAAACGGUAGCUAAUACCGCAUAACGUCGCAAGACCAAAGAGGGGGACCUUCGGGCCUCUUGCCAUCGGAUGUGCCCAGAUGGGAUUAGCUAGUAGGUGGGGUAACGGCUCACCUAGGCGACGAUCCCUAGCUGGUCUGAGAGGAUGACAGCCACACUGGAACUGAGACACGGUCCAG